GCGUAUUCAGAUCACUUCACUUUUCCACAUUUUGUUACAUUACAGUUUUAUUCUAAAAUGGAUUAAAAACAUUGUUGUCCUCAUCAAUCUACAUACAAAAAAAAUUAUAUGAACAGAAGUUAUUUUUGUGCAAAUUUAUUAAAAAUAACAAAUAAAUAUCUACAUACAGUACCAGUCAAAAGUUUGGACGCACCUACUCAUUCAAGGGUUUUAUUUUUACUAUAUUCUACAUUGUAGAACUAUGAAAUAACAUGAAAUCACGUAGAAACCAAAAAUGUUGCCAAAUCGAAAUAUGUUUUAGAUUCUUCAAAGAAGCCACCCUUUGACUUGAUGACAGCUUUGCACACUCUUGUCAUUCUCUCAACUAGCUUCACCUGGAAUGUUUUUCCAACAGUCUCGAAGGAGUUCCCACAUAUGCUGAGCACUUAUUGUCUGCUUUUCCUUCCCUCUGUGGCCCAACUCAUCCCAAACCAUCUCAAUUUGGUAGAGUUUGGGUAAUUGUGGAGGCCAAGUCAUCUGAUGCAGCACUCCAUCACUCUCCUUGAUCAAAUAUUGUCCUGUUGAAAAACAAAUGAUAGUCCCACUAAGCGCAAACUAGAUGGGAUGGCAUAUCGCUGGUUAAGAGUGCCUUGAAUUCUAAAUAAGUCACUGACAGUGUCACAAGCAAAGCACCCCCACUCCAUCACCCCUCCUCCAUGCUUCACGGUGGGAACUACACAUGCUGAGAUCAUCCGUUCACCUACUCUGCUUCUCACAAAGACAGCUGAUUUCCACCAGUCUAAUGCCAUUACUUGUGUUUCUUGGCCCAAGUCUCUUCUUAUUGGUGUCCUUUAGUUGUGGUUCGCUUGCAAUAAUUCAACCAUGAAGGCCUGAUUUACACAGUCUCCUCUGAACAGUUGAUGUUGAGAUGUGUCUGUUACUUGAACUUUGAAUAAUUUUUUGGGGCUGCAGUUUCUGAGGCUGGUAACUCUAAUGAACUUAUCCUCUGCAGCAGAGGUAACUCUGGGUCUUCCUUUCCUGUGGCGGUCCUCAUGAGAGCCAGUUUCAUCAGUUUUUGCAACUGCACUUGAAGAAAUGUAAAAGUUCUUGAAAUUUUCCAGAUUGACUGACCUUCAUGUCUUAAAGUAACGAUGGACUGCCCUUUCCAUUUCAGUAAUGGAUGCAAAAAAUGUAACUAAAUGAUUUGAUGAAUGUUGAAAAAUGUAUGUCAUUUAUCUUUGUUUCGUAUAAGAUUAAUCAAUCAAAAACACACAUGCAAAAACAAUUAGAACAAAUCUACCUGCAGUAGAGCUUGUUGGAUAAAAAGUGAAUUUGUUAUAACUUAAACAAAUUGAGUUGAUGUGACUUCUCAUUUAGUUUUGAGUCAGCACCACAUAAACAUUAUCAGUAAUAAUGACUUUUAAUUGACUAAAAGACAUCUAGUAAGUUGAACUGAGUUAAAAAGCCUUAUUGUUUACAGUGUUAUAAUGUUACACUGAGAACUUGUGUUGUGCUGCAUUCCAUCUUUAAGGUUCCUCUUGUCAGGGAAAAAGGUUGGUCUGGGUAUUCCCACUUACCCGUAGAGAGAACAUGUAUACAGGUAUAACAUCAUUCUGGUGAUGCCCUGGUUUUACCUGUAGAGAGAGAACAUGUAUACAGGAAUAACAUCAUUCUGGUGAUGCCCUGGUUUUACCUGUAGAGAGAGAACAUGUAUACAGGAAUAACAUCAUUCUGGUGAUGCCCUGGUUUUACCUGUAGAGAGAGAACAUGUAUACAGGAAUAACAUCAUUCUGGUGAUGCCCUGGUUUUACCUGUAGAGAGAGAACAUGUAUACAGGUAUAACAUCAUUCUGGUGAUGC
ensembl:lncRNA